CAAGUCGCCGUCUGAAUGGGUAGUGCUAGUGGUACCAAUUGCUAAUGUCCCUGGUUUUGUCUAUGCUAUAAACAAACCCAGUGGAUUAAAAAACUGUUUUGAGCCACUCUCAUAAAACUUCAGAAUGUGACUUGUACUAAAUCUUGGCUGUGAUAGAAGCCAAGAAACAACAGCAAUUGAAGUAUACUUGCCAGCAGUACACAAACAGAAGAUGUUGAAUAUGGUGAGCAUGGCCCAAUGGAGAAGUGUGCAUGGUGUAUGCACUCAAGUCACAGUCUGAAUAGGUAGUGUUAGUGGUACCAGUUGUUAAUGUCCCUGGUUUUGUCUAUGCUAUAAACAAACCCAGUGGAUUAAAAAACUGUUUUGAGCCACUCACUCAUAAAACUUCAGAAUGUGACUUGUACUAAAUCUUGGCUGUGAUAGAAGCCAAGAAACAACAGCAAUUGAAGUAUAAUUGCCAGCGUUACACAAUCUGAAGAUGUUGAAUAUGAUGAGCAUGGCCCAGUGGAGAAGUGUGCAUGGUGUAUGCACUCAAGUCAAAGUCUGAAUGGGUAGUGCUAGUGGUACCAGUUGCUAAUG